CACGUAGGGGCCAAGCGUUGUCCGGAUUUAUUGGGCGUAAAGAGCUCGUAGGCGGUUCGACAAGUCGGGUGUGAAAACUCCGGGCUCAACCCGGAGACGCCACCCGAUACUGUCGUGACUGGAGUCCGGUAGGGGAGUGGGGAAUUCCUGGUGUAGCGGUGAAAUGCGCAGAUAUCAGGAGGAACACCGGUGGCGAAGGCGCCCCUCUGGGCCGGUACUGACGCUGAGGAGCGAAAGCGUGGGUAGCAAACAGG
rnacentral:rRNA from 1 species